GUUUCGUUGUAUAUCGUUUUGGAGAUUUCUUAAGUUUGCUCUUCUUUUUUCAUCAAAAUCUUUGGAUAAACGGUGAUGAGAUUACGAGAUACUCAUAUGCUGUUUAAGCAUCAAAGACGCUAACUUUUAUGAGUUUGAUAGCUAAAUAGUCCUCAUGAUACAUCAUAGCGCAGAGUUUGUUGUCUUUUUCGUCGACUCUAUGAACUAUCUUCACUAAAAAUGUCCCAUUAACACAAUUUCAGUUAAUGUCUCGACUUUUGUUUGCC